rnacentral:rRNA from 1 species
AGCGAACGCUGGCGGCAGGCCUAACACAUGCAAGUCGAACGAACCUUUCGGGGUUAGUGGCGGACGGGUGAGUAACACGUGGGAACGUGCCUUUAGGUUCGGAAUAACUCAGGGAAACUUGUGCUAAUACCGAAUGUGCCCUUCGGGGGAAAGAUUUAUCGCCUUUAGAGCGGCCCGCGUCUGAUUAGCUAGUUGGUUGAGGUAAUGGCUCACCAAGGCGGCGACGGGUAGCCGGCCUGAGAGGGUGGACGGCCACAUUGGGACUGAGAUACGGCCCAGACUCCUACGGGAGGCAGCAGUGGGGAAUAUUGCACAAUGGGCGCAAGCCUGAUGCAGCGACGCCGCGGGGGGGAUGACGGCCUUCGGGUUGUAAACUCCUUUCGCUAGGGACGAAGCUUUUUGUGACGGUACCUAGAGAAGAAGCACCGGCUAACUACGUG